GAUCAUGGCUCAGAUUGAACGCUGGCGGCAGGCCUAACACAUGCAAGUCGAGCGGGGUUUUCGGACCUAGCGGCGGACGGGUGAGUAAUGCGUAGGAAGCUACCCGAUAGAGGGGGAUACCAGUUGGAAACGACUGCUAAUACCGCAUACGCCCUGAGGGGGAAAGUGGGGAUCUUCGGACCUACCGCGAUUGGAUGCACCCAGGUGGGAUUAGCUAGUUGGUGAGGUAACGGCUCACCAAGGCGACGAUCUCUAGCUGGUCUGAGAGGAUGACCAGCCACACUGGAACUGAGACACGGUCCAGACUCCUACGGGAGGCAGCAGUGGGGAAUAUUGCACAAUGGGGGAAACCCUGAUGCAGCCAUGCCGCGUGUGUGAAGAAGGCCUUCGGGUUGUAAAGCACUUUCAGCGAGGAGGAAAGGGUGGAAGCUAAUACCUUUCAUCUGUGACGUUACUCGCAGAAGAAGCACCGGCUAACUCCGUG
rnacentral:rRNA from 1 species